CUCAGAAACUUAAAGGAAUUGACGGGGCCGCACAAGCGGUGGAGUAUGUGGCUUAAUUCGAUGCAACGCGAAGAACCUUACCUGGUCUUGACAUCCCGGAGACCCUUAGGAAACUAGGGGGUGCUUCCAUCUGGAAGAAUCUGGAGACAGGUGCUGCAUGGCUGUCGUCAGCUCGUGUCGUGAGAUGUUGGGUUAAGUCCCGCAACGAGCGCAACCCUUGCCUUUAGUUGCCAGCAGUUCGGCUGGGCACUCUAAAGGGACUGCCGGUGUUAAACCGGAGGAAGGUGGGGAUGACGUCAAGUCCUCAUGGCCUUUAUGACCAGGGCUACACACGUACUACAAUGGCCGAUACAAAGGGCAGCGACACUGCGAGGUGAAGCCAAUCCCGUAAAAUCGGUCUCAGUCCGGAUUGGAGUCUGCAACUCGACUCCAUGAAGUUGGAAUCGCUAGUAAUCGUGGAUCAGCAUGCCACGGUGAAUACUUUCCCGGGCCUU
rnacentral:rRNA from 1 species